CAUACCCCACGUCCCCACAUUGUCAUUGGAGAAAUAAAAUAAGUGUAAGAAAAAAAAAAUGAAUCAUAAUUUCCUGUCAAUAUGCACAUCUACAUAGAAUGUCCUUAUUAUCUACACAGUUUCAUGAAAUUCUGUUGUGUGGUUUGAGAGGAGUUGCGAUGACAAAAGGUUGCAGUAGUAUAUUGGGCAAAUAAGUUCAAAGGGGCGUAACUCCUGGAAAAAAAUUGAAUCGUAAUUUCCUGUCGAUAUGCACAUCUACGUAGUAUGUCCUUAUUAUCUGAAAAGGUUUCAUGAAAUUCUGUUGUGUGGUUUGAGAGGAGUUGCGAUGACAAACUGUUGCAGUAGUACAUUAAAGUAAAUAAGUUCAAAGGGGUGUAACUCCUAGAAAAAUAAUUGAAUCGUAAUUUCCUGUCGAUAUGCACAACUACAUAGUAUGUCCUUAUUAUCUAAAAAGGUUUCGUGAAAUUCUGUUGUGUGGUUUGAGAGGAGUUGCGAUGACAAGAAACAGGACUGACGGACUGACGGACAGACAGACGGACAGACGGACAGAGACUGACGGACAGACGGACGGAUGGACGGACGGGUCAAAAACAUUAUACCUUCUGCAACUCGUGGGGUAUAA